rnacentral:rRNA from 1 species
CCUACGGGAGGCUGCAGUGGGGAAUAUUGGACAAUGGGGGGAACCCUGAUCCAGCCAUGCCGCGUGUGUGAAGAAGGCCCUCGGGUUGUAAAGCACUUUCAGUGAGGAAGAACGCCUGGUGGUUAAUACCCAUCAGGAAAGACAUCACUCACAGAAGAAGCACCGGCUAACUCCGUGCCAGCAGCCGCGGUAAUACGGAGGGUGCGAGCGUUAAUCGGAAUUACUGGGCGUAAAGCGCGCGUAGGUGGCUUGAUAAGCCGGUUGUGAAAGCCCCGGGCUCAACCUGGGAACGGCAUCCGGAACUGUCAAGCUAGAGUGCAGGAGAGGAAGGUAGAAUUCCCGGUGUAGCGGUGAAAUGCGUAGAGAUUGGGAGGAAUACCAGUGGCGAAGGCGGCCUUCUGGACUGACACUGACACUGAGGUGCGAAAGCGUGGGUAGCAAACAGGAUUAGAUACCCGUGUAGUC